CAAAAUUAACUAAAUUUUCUACAAUAGACAUAAGUCUCGGCAGCUUGUGCAAUUUCACUUGCCUGGGUUUAGCUGUCAGAUUCAUUUCAUUUCUCUUCCCAUCACCACAGUUCCUUCAACCUCCACUUACUUGCACAAUCGCCAUCCUCUUCAAAACCUGCGCCUCUCUCUCUCUCUCUCUCUCUCUCUCUGGGAGCUCAGAUCCAAAGUCUGAGCAAAGCAAAUUCGCUCAGCACCAAUGGAUCUGUGGAUGAACACGCACCAAGUUUUGAAGACCCGAGCCCAGCACCUGUAAUUGACGGUGGUGGAGGAGUCAGAGUCAUCAGGACGCAAAGCAAGUGAUUACGGGGUGAAAGGUUCGAUCGAUUUUGAGUCCUUGAUCUUACUUUGAAGAAGAAGAAGAAUCACGCAGACACUCAGAAAGUUUUGAGGUGACUGGUUGUUAAGAUAAGUGCUACUUCACCAAAUCUCCCUGCUGUUUCUUCACUACUGCGUCUAAGGUUGCUUUGGAGUGUUCCUUUCUUGGUGUUUUGAUUGGAGCAGUAUGGGUAUUACUGAAGCAUUGUGACAGCAGGUAGAACUCCAAAAGCGGCUUCAUGAACAACUUGAGUCUCUGCUUUGUUGAAGGAUUGGUUGGUAUAUCUGUUGUCAUUGAUUGCAAGGUCAUUGUACACAACUAAUAAUACUGGUGGUUGAUUCACAGCGUGACCAAUUUUUUUCUGGAUAGAUUGGAGUGCAAGGUCAAACAAAAUAGUUACUUCAUCUCAUGAUUGGAACUUAAGGAGAAGACUUCCUUGUACCUCCCUUGAAGAGGAAACAAGUUCGCAUCGAAUGAAUCUCUGAUCCAUAAGAGAGGGAAAAGAGGCAGACUUGGCAUUGAAAGCCAUUUUUUUUGUUUUUGUUUUUGGCAUUGGAGGAAUCUGGACGUUGGAACACAAUGUAAAGAGAUGGCAUCGUGACCAAAUCCAGAGCUCUUGUCAGCAAUGAAAAGUGGUAGUUUUUUAGAAAUUUGAUGGGAAUGUUAAACAGGCAAGGUGUCCAAAUUCAGCAUCAAGUUGUCAAUAUGAUUGAAGCCUAGUCCCCGUUUGUCUAAUAUUCAGUAUAUAUAGACGCUUUGAUCUGGUCA